CUAUGCGCCUUGCCAGCCCGCUCAGUCAGAGUUUGAUCCUGGCUCAGGACGAACGCUGGCGGCGUGCUUAACACAUGCAAGUCGAACGGUAAGGCCCCUUCGGGGGUACACGAGUGGCGAACGGGUGAGUAACACGUGAGCAACCUGCCCUUGGACUCUGGAAUAAGCGCUCGAAAGGGCGUCUAAUACUGGAUAUGACUUCGUGCCUGCAUGGGUGGGAGUGGAAAGCUUCGGCGGUUGGGGAUGGGCUCGCGGCCUAUCAGCUUGUUGGUGGGGUAAUGCUCACAAGGCUUCGACGGGUAGCCGGCCUGAGAGGGCGACCGGCCACACUGGAACUGAGACACGGUCCAG
rnacentral:rRNA from 1 species